rnacentral:rRNA from 1 species
ACGCAACGCGAAGAACCUUACCAGGGCUUGACAUCCUCUGACAACCCAAGAGAUUGGGCGUUCUGCUUCGGGUAGACAGAGAGACAGGUGGUGCAUGGUUGUCGUCAGCUCGUGUCGUGAGAUGUUGGGUUAAGUCCCGCAACGAGCGCAACCCUUAUCUUUAGUUGCCAUCAGGUAAUGCUGGGCACUCUAGAGAGACUGCCGGUGACAACCGGAGAAGUGGGGAUGACGUCAAAUCAUCAUGCCCCUUAUGUCCUGGGCUACACACGUACUACAAUGGCCGUUACAACGGGAAGCGAAGGAGCAAUCCGGAGCAAAUCCCUUAAAGGCGGUCCCAGUUCAGAUUGUGGGCUGAAACUCGCCCACAUGAAGGCGGAAUUGCUAGUAAUUGCAGAUCAGCAUGCUGCAGUGAAUACGUUCCCGGGCCUU